AACGCUGCUUUAAGAAAUAAAGGAGUUGGACAGAAACUUUGAGACAGGUGCAAAAUCUAAAUCCUCUUUGGCAACUCAGAACUCAUUGUUUGGUAUGAGUCCUAAUACAGAUGAGAAGGAACAUG